AUUGAACGCUGGCGGCAGGCCUAACACAUGCAAGUCGAACGAGUGGCGGACGGGUGGGUAAUGUCUGGGAAACUGCCUGAUGGAGGGGGAUAACUACUGGAAACGGUAGCUAAUACCGCAUACCAUCGGAUGUGCCCAGAUGGGAUUAGCUAGUAGGUGGGGUAAAGGCGCACCUAGGCGACGAUCCCUAGCUGGUCUGAGAGGAGGACCAGCCACACUGGAACUGAGACACGGUCCAGACUCCUACGGGAGUCAGCAGUGUGGAAUAUUGCACAAUGGGCGCAAGCCUGAUGCAGCCAUGCCGCGUGUAUGAAGAAGGCCUUCGGGUUGGAAAGUACUUUAAGUUGGGAGGCGUUACCAACAGAAUAAGCACCGGCUAACUUCGUGCCAGCAGCCGCGGUAAUAC
rnacentral:rRNA from 1 species